AAGUGCUGGGAUUAAAGGUGUGCGCCACCACUGCCUGGCUGAGACAUGGAUUUGAUUUUGUUCUUCUACAGUGGGCAUUCUAGUUUUGCUGACACCAUCUUAAUAAUACUUAGUAAGAUUGUCUCUUAUUCUAGAGUUUUUGAAACAUUCGUCACAAAUUUGGUGUGUACACUGGGUUUAUUUCAGUGUCUUUCAUUGUAGCCCAUUGGUCUUUCUUUUUAUACCAAUACCAUGCUGACUGUCACUAUGGCUAUGUCUGUAGUUUGAGGUCAGGUAUUGUGUUAUCAUCUCUGGCCAUCUUUUGUACUUCAGCUUUCUUUGUCAUGUUCUCAUAUACAUUUUAGAAGGUUUUGGGUUUCUGUUGUUGUUAUUCUGUGAAGAACAUUACUGGAGGUUUGGCAUCAAACCUAAAAUUUUUAGUCCAUAAAAUGGGCUAAUGAACUAAACUAACAGAUUUUUAAAGCAAAAAUAUGAAUGGCAGAUCACACAUUUUUAAUAUUUUUCCACAUUCUUAGGCAUCACUAGAAUGCAAAUUAAAACUACUGUGAGAUUCUGUCUCAUCCUAGGUAGAAUGGCUGCCAUUAGGAAACUGAGUACAACAAGGACUGGUGUUUGUGUAAGGAAAGAAAUCUUUAUUCACUGUUGAUGAAUCUAAAUUAGCAGAGUCUCUAUGGAAAUCAAUGUGGAGGCCUUUCACAAAACUAAAAAUGGAACUGCCUAUGACCUAGGUAUACUAUUCUUGGUCAAAAUAUUCAAAGGACUGUAUAUCCUCCCAUGAGAUACUUGUACAACCAUGUUUCUUGGUUUUGAGUCAGUAAAGGAGCAGGAUCUUAAGGUUUGAAAGUGUGCAAAGGACAUAGUGAUGCGUGACAAAUGAUGUUGAGAGCAGAGAAAGAGGAAAGCUGCCCUUCAGCUGCUUUUCUCCUUCUGCUGCUUUGAUUCAGUCUGGGACUCUAGCCUAGGAAAUGUUUACUAUAGAAAAGAUGUGGCACAUAGACACAAUGAAAUUUUAUUCAGCAAUAAAGGAAGAUGAAAUUAAGGAGUUUGCAGGAAAACAGAUGGAACUGGAAGAUAUUGUGUGGAAUGUGGUGAUCUAGAUACAGAUAAAGAGCAUUAGUUCCUUUCAUGUGUGGAUCCUCGAUUUUACUUUUGACAUAUGUGUAUUCACAUGGGAGUGACUGUGAGCUGAGACUGGGAAACUAGAAAUAGACCUAUUAAAGUAGAAAAAUGAGGCUCUAAGGGAGGAGUGUGGGGAGGAGUGUGAGGAGUAUAAUACCCAUAACAUAAUGAGUGGAAGAGGGAUACUUGGGAGAGAAGAGUACAAAUGACAAUGGGCAGUAGGGACGUGGGUGAGAAGAGGAUAUGGGGGACAGGAUUAACCACAACUAUGUAUGAAGAUGAAAAAGGACAACUUGCAGGAGCCAGUUCUCUCUGUCUACCACAUGGGGCCUGGAGAUCAAUGUCAGGUUGCCAGCCUUGGUGUCAACUGUCUUACCAUUGAGCCAUCUGAGUAGUCCUAUAGAAUAGUCUGAGACUAUUUUAGAAAACAUAUUUCUGCAUUGUAGAUGAGAUAUCCAACUUCUUGCAGUGGCUGAACCAGCCUUUGUAACCAAGGCCCCCACUUGCCUCUUGUACUUUGUACUGUCUUUUUAAAUUUUUUACUGUGUUCUUGGUAAUUUGUAACUAUUCCCCCCUCCCAUCCCUCCAAACACUCAGUUUUAUUUCUGUUUUAGCACCUUUGUUUCAGUCUCCUUUCUGCCUAGUCAUUAUGGGGCUGGAUCCUUUAUUAGUUAGGGCCCAGGUGGCAGGAGCCUUGCCAGACUCCCUGUCAACCCUACUUAAAGUUCUCAACCUGUCAACACUGUGCAUUCUGUGACCGCCAUGUCUCUUUUGCUAUCUGACUCCUGUUGGAAUGUAAGCUACACAUUGGGUGUGGGCUCAGACUGGACUUUUAGAAAGAACUUGAGCUCAAUAUUCCUUUGGAGCAAGCUGGAUGGUUUUGAGCACACGCCUCACUGAGGAUGCCUGCACAUGGACUCCCUGCCUGGUCCAGCUCUCCUGUCAGGUGCACUUCUGCUCCACAGAUGGCACACAUUCAUCGUGAUGGUGAAGUGGCAUCAAAAGCGAAGGCACCCUAGAAACCUAUCUUUGCAGCCCACCAAAGCAGCGUCUCUGUACCACAGAGAUGAAAGCUGUAGAUAACAGGGGCAUUCCCAGCACUCACUCCCUUGUGGGCAGCUGACGGUUAACACAGGUGGGUGUAGGGCACUACCCAUCCUUUGAAGGUUGGCUGUUGGAGGGGAUGCUGCCUCUCUGGGAUUAGUCCUGCGCCAUGGGCCUCAGAGUUGCUUCUGAGAAGUGACCAGGUGGUGAAGACCUGCCUUGCUUUUCAGAAAUUCACACAUGGCUGUCAAACUCCCACUAUGGUUCAAAGGCAGCCAGGCAAGGUGUCUGGCCUUUGUGAUAUGUGGCCAUUUGAGGGGCCACCUUGAUUCUUGUUCUGCUUAGAGGCCAAAUUAGAUUGUGGAGCAGCUGGCUUGUCUACCUCCUCCCCAGAUCUGGAAGGGAGGGGGGCUGGAGAGAGCAGAGCUAAAGUGCAGAGGAAAGAAGCAAGUAUUAUAAUGAGUCUGCCAUUCACCAAGCAAACAUCAUUUUGUUUAAAUUACACUGUGCUAUUUUAUCUUGACCUGCAACCAAAUGGAACUCAUUGUAAUACAUUAUCCAAUACGAGAUAGUUGGCUCAUUAAUAAAGCCCUAGGAAGGAGAUGGGGUAAACAAUAAAAACUUGCACAUUAGCACCAUUAUGCACCAUAAUAUUUUUCCUUCUUUUCAUCAAAAUUCUUCACAUAAUUAGAUCUCAAGUAAGUCAGCAAAGAAAUCCUCAGCAUUUUUUAUUUGGACUCUUUUCUUUUGAGAAAAUUAGUUUUUUUUUUUUUUCAUAUUAUUAGGAAGCAACCAAGUAAAGACUCCUGGAUUACUGGAAGUUUUCCUUAUGGAGUGUAAAUAUUUGUUGGAUGCUAAUGGCAUGGCAGGUUUUGUCACUCAGGCAGUGAGCCAAGCAAUGACAGAAAUCUCAGUGAAGGGAAAAAAACUUUUUGGGUAGAAGUGAAAAGCCCCAUUAAAGGUGUUACAGUUAUGCUGAGACCAACAGUGUUCCUGGCUAAGGCAAUAGAUUAGGUACCCUAAAGUGGGAGCAAACUUAAUGGGCAAGGGAAGAUCUGUGUAGCUAGGGGAAGGAUAGAAAUGUAGUUUGGAAUGAGAUUGGCCAUGGCAAGGUGUUGUAUUUACCAAGGCGUUGUGUUCAUUGUGGUAAAACACUUUCUGUUUGAAGAGAUCAACUCUACUUGAUGGGGUUGAGAUGGCAUCUGGGGAGGAAGCUGGGAGACACUUAGAGCCACUGCAGUCACCCUGGUGGGAGGUGACAGAGGAGUGGCUUGAGUGUUAUAGUGCAGGUCAAGAGAAAUGGACGAUCAGGGCUUGUUCUGAGGAAACAGCUGAGUUUGGCUAUGGGGAGAGAAAGUAGACAAGAGAAGUUGAGGCUGAGUUAGGCUUAGGUUUUAUCUAUAGUAGGCUUCUCUCUUAACCGCCAUGGUGAAACUUGAAAUAUUGAAAAAACAUUUAAGCCAGUUGUCUGAAUAGCAUCAGUGCCUGGUAUAGACACAGAAGCUGGCCAUUAAGUGCCUGGAAUUGAUAGAAUAAUGAUUUGCAUAACCAUCCACAAUGCGGUCCACAGUCCUGUGUGAUUGGCUCUGUGAACUAUUUAUAAUGAACAAUUCAUUACUGACAUCCACAAGAGAAGUUAAAAAAUGUUGAAUAAGCAUUUGGAAAUCUGUGUAACAGUUUAAAGUUGCUGUAAUAUGCAAAUAGCAUUUUAUUUUCUUGAUCAUUUUCUUUUUACUCAAUAAAAUGUCAAUCUGAGA